rnacentral:rRNA from 1 species
UACGUAGGGUGCGAGCGUUAAUCGGAAUUACUGGGCGUAAAGCGUGCGCAGGCGGAUCGUUAAGUCAGGGGUGAAAUCCUGGGGCUCAACCCCAGAACUGCCUUUGAUACUGGCGAUCUCGAGUCCGGAAGAGGUGAGUGGAACUCCUAGUGUAGAGGUGGAAUUCGUAGAUAUUAGGAAGAACACCAGUGGCGAAGGCGGCUCACUGGUCCGGUACUGACGCUGAGGUGCGAAAGCGUGGGGAGCAAACAGG